AGCAGUAGCCGCGGGAAUACGAAGGGGGCUAGCGUUGUUCGGAUUUACUGGGCGUAAAGCGCACGUAGGCGGACUUUUAAGUCAGGGGUGAAAUCCCGGGGCUCAACCCCGGAACUACCUUUGAUACUGGAAGUCUUGAGUAUGGUAGAGGUGAGUGGAAUUCCGAGUGUAGAGGUGAAAUUCGUAGAUAUUCGGAGGAACACCAGUGGCGAAGGCGGCUCACUGGACCAUUACUGACGCUGAGGUGCGAAAGCGUGGGGAGCAAACAGGAUUAGAUACCCCAGUAGUCCCUGUCUCUUAUAC
rnacentral:rRNA from 1 species